rnacentral:rRNA from 1 species
GACGAACGCUGGCGGCGUGCCUAAUACAUGCAAGUAGAACGCACAGUUUAUACCGUAGCUUGCUACACCAUAGACUGUGAGUUGCGAACGGGUGAGUAACGCGUAGGUAACCUGCCUGGUAGCGGGGGAUAACUAUUGGAAACGAUAGCUAAUACCGCAUAAUAUUAAUUAUUGCAUGAUAAUUAAUUGAAAGGUGCAAUUGCACCACUACCAGAUGGACCUGCGUUGUAUUAGCUAGUAGGGGAGGUAACGGCGCACCUAGGCGAGGAGACGGAGCCGACCUGAGAGGGUGGUCGGCCAGCCUGGGACGGUGACACGGCCCAGACGCCUUCGGGAGGCAGCAGUAGUGAAUCGUCGGCAAGGGACGGAAGUCUGACCGAGCAGCGCCGCGGGAGUGUGGAAGGUUGUCGGGUCGUAGAGCUCGGUUUUCAGAGAAGAACGGGCGUGAGAGUGGAAAGUUCACACUGUGACGGUACCUGACCAGAAAGGGACGGCUAACUACGUG